UUGAUUGAUUGAUUGAUUGAUUGAUUGAUUAGAUUUGUGUGAAGUUGAGUGACAUGAUAACCUGUAUCUCGGGCUGUUCUUUCCAUCUCCAUCUUCUUCUUUUUUCGUCCUUCAGCACCACUCCUGAACUUCUUUUGGAGCCAUGAUGCCAUCUCUAGUGCUACUGCUUUUCCAUCUGUGGCUUCUCCAGACCAGAGUAAUCGAUCAAGUUUGAAACGGUGCCGUGGUGUCACAGUAGCCUAACUUACGCACGAAGCAUGGAGUCACCAACUGACUGCUGGUUUAGUUUUUCUUUCCUGUAUUUUUCCCGUAUAGUUUUCUAAUAAGCCAGUUUAAAUUGAUAUGUUACCAUGAUGAUUUAUGUUUUAUUGGAAUAAAGACAGGGACAAAAUGCGAAUCACACACUUAUUGUGAUGUGGCUAUAAACAACGGCAUAGAGUGUUCAUGCCAGCGGCCGGCCCUGUUCUGGUGUCUGACAGACGGACGUCAGGACAGAACCUGGACCAGUUGGUAAGUAGCUGCUCCUUUAAAUCCACCAGACCAACCAGCUGAAUCCUACAGGAACCAAACAUCUCAUCUUCUUCACCUCCUCCUCCAGCUAUAGUUCAAUGGACAAGGAAGCAACAAGUUUACAGGUCAGACCAGAGCAUCACUGUUAGGUUCAAAACCUGAAAAGCAGUAUUAAUUUUAGAAUUAUUCUUGUUAUCAUUAGAAUUAUUCUUAUUAAUUUUAGAAUUAUUUUUAUUAUCGUUACAAUUAUUCUUAUUAAUAUUGGAAUUAUUGUUUUUGUUGUCAUUUCUACCACUAAUGCUAUUUUGUUAUUGUUGUUAGUUUAUAGUAAAAGUAGCUCUAUAGCAGUUUUAUUAUAGUUGUAGUUAUUUAUGGUCUCUGAAGAACUGGAGCUGCUGGAUGACUUUAUGACAACAAUGAUUAAAAUUACUACUGCUAGAAAUAUCACUGCUACUACUAAUAAUAAUAAAGGCUGUGGAUCGGUGGUUAGCACUGUCGCCUUGCAGCUAGAAGAUCCCCGGUUUGUGUCCUGGCCUGGUUCUAGUUUUGGUUCUGGUCUUUCUGGAUGAAGUCUCCAUGUUCUCCUGCUGAGUUCUCUUGGUUCUUUCCACAGUCUAACAACAUGCUGAGGUUCAUUAGUGGAACUAAAUGUUUGUCUCUAUGUGUAGCCCUGUGAUAGGCUGUUACCUGUCCAGGUGAGCCUGUGAUAGGCUGUUACCUGUCCAGGUGUCUCCUGCCUUCACCCUCAGUCAGCUGGGAAAGACUCCAGCCCCAUGACCCUGAUGAGGGUUAAAUGGGCCACUGCUGCUGGAUGAGUUUGUGGAAUGGAGGAAGUGGUGUUCAGCGUCAUAGCAGACAGUCAUCAUCUGGACACUACAAGGAGGAAGGAAGUGAAACUGGAGGAACCUGUGAUGAAGCUGCUUCCAGGUGAACCUCCGUCUGGACUCACCUCCAGCACAGAAAUGAACUCAUUUAUGUUUUCUACAGAAUUAUUUUUCCCAUUUUGUCUUGUUUGUAUACGUUUUCAAAAUAAUAAUAAAGGAGAAUAAACAUUCA